rnacentral:rRNA from 1 species
CUAACACAUGCAAGUCGAGCGGAAACGAUCCUAGCUUGCUAGGAGGCGUCGAGCGGCGGACGGGUGAGUAACGCGUGAGAAUCUGCCCAUUUGUGGGGGAUAACUCGGGGAAACUCGAGCUAAUACCGCAUAAUCCCUACGGGGGAAAGCAGGGGACCUUCGGGCCUUGUGCAGAUGGAUGAGCUCGCGUCGGAUUAGCUUGUUGGUGAGGUAAAGGCUCACCACGGCGACGAUCCGUAGCUGGUCUGAGAGGAUGAUCAGCCACACCGGGACUGAGACACGGCCCGGACUCCUACGGGAGGCAGCAGUGGGGAAUCUUGGACAAUGGGGGCAACCCUGAUCCAGCCAUGCCGCGUGUGUGAAGAAGGCCUUCGGG